rnacentral:rRNA from 1 species
UCAAAGAUUAAGCCAUGCAUGUCUAAGUAUAAGCUUUUAUACGGUGAAACUGCGAAUGGCUCAUUAAAACAGUUAUAGUUUAUUUGAUGGUCUCUUUUACAUGGAUAACCAUGGUAAUUCUAUGGCUAAUACAUGCGCACUCGCCUCCUUCUCUGGAGGGGCUGUGUUUAUUAGAUACAAAACCAACCCACUUUGUGGAGUCCUGGUGAUUCAUAGUAACCGAACGGAUCGCAGUUGGCUUCGGCCCGCGAUGGAUCUUUCAAGUUUCUGACCUAUCAGCUUUCGACGGUAGGGUAUUGGCCUACCGUGGCAGUGACGGGUAACGGGGAAUUAGGGUUCGAUUCCGGAGAGGGAGCCUGAGAAACGGCUACCACAUCUAAGGAAGGCAGCAGGCGCGCAAAUUACCCAAUGAAAACAGUUUCGAGGUAGUGACGAGAAAUAACAAUACAGGGCAUUUUAUGCUCUGUAAUUGGAAUGAUGGGAAUGUAAAACCCUUCCAGAGUAACAAUUGGAGGGCAAGUCUGGUGCCAGCAGCCGCGGUAAUUCCAGCUCCAAUAGUGUAUAUUAGAGUUGUUGCAGUUAAAAAGCUCGUAGUUGGAUUUCUGUCGUGGUCAUCCGGCUCCGCCCGUAUGGGUGUGCGCCUGGUUUGGCCUCGGCUUUCUUCCGGUAGCC